UGCUGCUUCGCUGACGAGUGGCGGACGGGUGAGUAAUGUCUGGGAAACUGCCUGAUGGAGGGGGAUAACUACUGGAAACGGUGGCUAAUACCGCAUAACGUCGCAAGACCAAAGAGGGGGACCUUCGGGCCUCUUGCCAUCAGAUGUGCCCAGAUGGGAUUAGCUAGUUGGUGAGGUAACGGCUCACCAAGGCGACGAUCCCUAGCUGGUCUGAGAGGAUGACCAGCCACACUGGAACUGAGACACGGUCCAGACUCCUACGGGAGGCAGCAGUGGGGAAUAUUGCACAAUGGGCGCAAGCCUGAUGCAGCCAUGCCGCGUGUAUGAAGAAGGCCUUCGGGUUGUAAAGUACUUUCAGCGGGGAGGAAGGUGUUGUGGUUAAUAACCACAGCAAUUGACGUUACCCGCAGAAGAAGCACCGGCUAACUCCGUGCCAGCAGCCGCGGUAAUACGGAGGGUGCAAGCGUUAAUCGGAAUUACUGGGCGUAAAGCGCACGCAGGCGGUCUGUCAAGUCGGAUGUGAAAUCCCCGGGCUCAACCUGGGAACUGCAUUCGAAACUGGCAGGCUUGAGUCUUGUAGAGGGGGGUAGAAUUCCAGGUGUAGCGGUGAAAUGCGUAGAGAUCUGGAGGAAUACCGGUGGCGAAGGCGGCCCCCUGGACAAAGACUGACGCUCAGGUGCGAAAGCGUGGGGAGCAAACAGGAUUAGAUACCCUGGUAGUCCACGCCGUAAACGAUGUCUACUUGGAGGUUGUGCCCUUGAGGCGUGGCUUCCGGAGCUAACGCGUUAAGUAGACCGCCUGGGGAGUACGGCCGCAAGGUUAAAACUCAAAUGAAUUGACGGGGGCCCGCACAAGCGGUGGAGCAUGUGGUUUAAUUCGAUGCAACGCGAAGAACCUUACCUGGUCUUGACAUCCACAGAACUUUCCAGAGAUGGAUUGGUGCCUUCGGGAACUGUGAGACAGGUGCUGCAUGGCUGUCGUCAGCUCGUGUUGUGAAAUGUUGGGUUAAGUCCCGCAACGAGCGCAAC
rnacentral:rRNA from 1 species